AAGGCAAGCAACUUCGAAGCGUGUUUUCGGACCGACGGGAGCAGGCCCCACAGACCCCCAAUAAUGCAACCCAAAUGGUGCGGCCCGUGUUGUGCCGCGGGGUGUUUUUCCGGCUAAGCGGGGGCUUCCGGCGAUGGCGGCGCCCAGCCCCUUUUGCCAUUGCGAAAGCGAGUGUCAACCUUCGCCGCCAUCGCCGCCCACAGGGUUUUCUGCUCUGUUUGCGUUGCAUCCAUGCAAAUCUUUCCUCAUCAUUUCACUUUUUUCCCAGCCGCCGAAAAUCUUCUGGUACAACAAUUGUGUGCAGAGGGUGUGCUUUUUUAAAGGGGCCGCCGUUGCGGUUGAGCGCCCCUUUGCGAAAGCCAGGGUGACGUCUGAAAUAUGUGUGAAUCAAUCACAUCAUUUUCCUGUGGAAAUGGAAAGUGAGGGGGGGGGAUUGUGCGGGACACGGCGCCUCCUUUCCAGUUAAACAAAGAUCCCAUUUUCGUGAUGUACAGCCGUGCGUUCCCCUCCGGCAAUGGGGGGAUGUUUCCUUGGCAGUCGGUGUCGCCUUGCAUUUCCCAUGCUUUUAAGAAUGGAAACCGAAGCCAAAACUGCCUUUUCGCUUUCAAACGCGCAUAAUUCAGGCCCCAAAGAUCCAGAAAUAACAGACAAAAAAAGCAACGACAAAAACUUCACAGCAGAAGGUGGGGAUGCUAUCUCCGCAGCUCCACGAAGGCUUAAAAACCUGCACGUUACGUUUGAACUUGAUCGGCAACUUUUUUCCCGCGCUGCAAAG
rnacentral:misc_RNA from 1 species